rnacentral:tRNA from 1 species
GCCCUGGCUGUCCAGUGGCUAAGACUCUGCGCUCCCAAUGCAGGGGGCCUGGGUUUGAUCCCCAGUCAGGGAA